GUGGAUAUAACUCAGUGGUAGAGUGCUUACCUAACAUGUAUGAGGCCCUGUAUUCAAUUCCCAGAACUACA
rnacentral:tRNA from 1 species